AUUGAACGCUGGCGGCAGGCCUAACACAUGCAAGUCGAGCGAGCGUCGUACGUGUGAGUACUGUAUGGUGAUCUGCCCGAUAGAGGGGGAUAACUACUGGAAACGUUAUCUCAUACCCCAUACCACCAGAUUCACCCAUAUGGUCUAAGCUUGUAGGUGUGGUAACGGCUCACCUAGGCGACGAUCCCUCGCUGGUCUGAGAGGAUGAUCAGCCACACUGGAACUGAGACACGGCCCAGACUCCUACGGGAGGAAGCAGUGGGGAAUAGUGCACAAUGGGCGCAAGCCUGAUGCAGCCAUGCCGCGUGUAUGAAGAAGGCCUUCGGGGUGUAAAGUACUUUCAGUCGGGAGGCGUUACCGACAGAAGAAGCACCGGCUAACUCCGUGCCAGCCGCCGCGGUAAUAA
rnacentral:rRNA from 1 species